rnacentral:misc_RNA from 1 species
UAAAAGGGAUUUGUUUCCCAUUUCUUGUAACCCGUAGAGACGUGUAGAGUGAGUUUGAGUGAGUUGAGCGGGAGCACCUUGUAUGAGAGCUUUGAGAGCUUGUUUCCCUUUCCUUUGGCAAAUGUAUAGCUUUGUGUAAAGGAAUAAAAGAAGUAGCUUUCUACUUCGUAAACCCUUGUCUCUACCUUUCUUUAUGCUUGUUGUGUAUGGCAUGGUUGAUGUUUGGUUGUCUUCGGGUUGUUUGAUGCGCACAUUGCUGUUGGUUGUUUGAGCUUGCGUGAAGUGGAGCUAGCUUGGCCAUUUGUGGGCUGUUUGAAGCGCAAGGUGUUGAGGUUCACUUGCAUUGCCGUGAGGUUUGGCUUGCUUGAGUGUUGCGCAUUGUUGAGGUUAGUAUUUGUUACUUGCCUUGUGUUGAUGCUU